GUUGUUCACGGUUGUACGCUAAGUGGGUGUAUUUUGGACCCUGUAAUCACUCUCCUACUGACCCACGAAGGGUGCGUUUAAUUCCUAUCGAGCCCUACUGGCAUUUCCUCUCAUAGUAAAUUCAACGGCAAACAGCAAAGCACUAUCGCGUGAGCUCCCCCCUGGCGCGCCGCUACUCCACGCCACCCUACUUUGGCCCCGCUCGCACGUCAGCUCCGUCAGCUCCUCGCUCAGAUGUUGGAGAGAUUGGCCCGAAGCUCGUUGGCUAGGAAACUUGUGCGCUCGUUCACGUCGUCUCCAGCUUGGUUCAACAUGCCUUACACCACGAUCGAAAGGGGCCAGCCCAACAGCUUGGACUACCGCGUCUACAUCAGUGACGAGAAUGGACCAAUCUCACCACUUCAUGACAUUCCAAUGUACGCUGAUGCUGCCAACAAAGUGUUCAACAUGCUGGUUGAAGUACCAAGGUGGACAAAUGCCAAGAUGGAGAUUAACCUGAAGGAAAUUAUGAACCCCAUUAAGCAGGAUGUUAAGAAGGGUAAACUGAGAUUUGUUGCAAACUGCUUCCCUCACCAUGGUUACAUCUGGAACUACGGUGCCAUCCCCCAGACUUGGGAAAAUCCAGAGCAUCUUGAUGAUUCUACUGGGUGCAAAGGAGACAAUGAUCCCAUUGAUGUCAUUGAAAUUGGUUACCGGGUUGCCAAGAGGGGAGAAGUUAUGCAAGUUAAAGUACUUGGAACUGUAGCUCUUAUUGAUGAAGGUGAAACCGAUUGGAAAAUCAUUGCAAUUGAUGUGAAUGACCCCGAUGCACCUCUCCUAAAUGAUGUUAGUGAUGUUGAAAAACUGAAACCUGGACUCUUAAAGGCAACUUUGGAGUGGUUUAAAAUCUACAAAAUUCCUGAUGGCAAACCUGAAAAUAAAUUUGCCUUUAAUGGUGAAGCAAAGAACAGAGAAUUUGCCCACAAAGUUAUUGAUGAAGUCCACAAGUUCUGGCAGCAACUUGUGAAGAAGGAAGCUGAAGCUGGUGGCAUAUCCUGUGCCAAUGUUACUGUAGCAGACAGUCCAUUUGCCAUUCAGAGAGGUGAUGCUCAAGACGUGGUGGACAAGAGCCCUCAGCCAGGAAGUGCCCUCCCCAUUGAGCCCAUUGACCUUGAUUUAUGGCACUACAUUACCCAAACUAAAAAGAAACUCUUCAAGCUUUAAGUGGUUGUUGCCACAUCUUGAUUUUUCUACUUUCCCCUGCCCUUGCUGUGUCCAUCAAAUUGUGUUCCAAGACUCUUCCCCACAUUUAAGUGGACAAGUGGCACUACGUAUCACUGAAGUAAGAAAAGAAAGAAAAAUAUGGUUCAUCAAACAUUUAUACCACUUGCACCUCCUAGCAGUACGCUGUGAUCAAGUUUUCUUGCUUAGAUAAUAAAGUACAACCAAUUUUUAAA